UACGUAGGGGGGCAAGCGUUGUCCGGAAUUACUGGGCGUAAAGGGCGCGUAGGCGGACAGUUUAGUCAGAGGUGAAAGCCCAGGGCUCAACCUUGGAAUUGCCUUUGAUACUGGCUGUCUUGAGUACGGGAGAGGUGAGUGGAACUCCGAGUGUAGAGGUGAAAUUCGUAGAUAUUCGGAAGAACACCAGUGGCGAAGGCGACUCACUGGCCCGUUACUGACGCUGAGGCGCGAAAGCGUGGGGAGCAAACAGG
rnacentral:rRNA from 1 species